GCUCCUGUAGCUCAGUGAUAGAGCCACCGGCUCAUAACCGGCAGGUCCCUGGUUUGAUCCCAGGUGGGAGCA
rnacentral:tRNA from 1 species